GACGAACGCUGGCGGCGUGCUUAACACAUGCAAGUCGAACGAAGUGGCGAACGGGUGAGUAACGCGUAAUCAACCUGCCCUUCAGAGGGGGACAACAGUUGGGAACGACUGGUAAUACCGCAUACUGAAGGAGGGGAGUGAGUCUGAGUAGCUAGUUGGAGGGGUGACGGCCCACCAAGGCGAUGAGCAGUAGCCGGUCUGAGAGGAUGAACGGCCACAUUGGGACUGAGAGACGGCCCAGACUCCUACGGGAGGCAGCAGGGGGGAAUCUUCCGCCAUGGACGAAAGUCUGACGGAGCAACGCCGCGUGAGUGAUGACGGCCUUCGGGUUGUAAAGCUCUGUUAAUCGGGACGCGGUACCGGAAUAGAAAGCCACGGCUAACUACGUGCCAGCAGCCGCGGUAAUAC
rnacentral:rRNA from 1 species